ACGGCUCAGUAACACGUAGUCAACAUGCCCAGGGGACGUGGAUAACCUCGGGAAACUGAGGAUAAACCGCGAUAGGCCAAGAUUUCUGGAAUGAAUCAUGGUUUAAAUCUAUAUGGCCCCUGGAUUGGACUGCGGCCGAUCAGGCUGUUGGUGAGGUAAUGGCCCACCAAACCUGUAACCGGUACGGGCUCUGAGAGGAGGAGCCCGGAGAUGGGCACUUAGACAAGGGCCCAGGCCCUAUGGGGCGCAGCAGGCGCGAAACCUCUGCAAUAAGCGAAAGCUUGACAGGGUCACUCUGAGUGAUUUCCGCUAAGGAAGUCUUUUGGCACCUCUAAAAAUGGUGCAGAAUAAGGGGUGGGCAAGUCUGGUGUCAGCCGCCGCGGUAAUACCAGCACCCCGAGUGGUCGGGACGAUUAUUGGGCCUAAAGCAUCCGUAGCCGGUCCUGCAAGUCCUCCGUUAAAUCCACCCGCUCAACGGUUGGGCCGCGGGGGAUACUACAGGGCUAGGAGGCGGGAGAGGCAAGCGGUACUCGAUGGGUAGGGGUAAAAUCCACUGAUCCAUUGAAGACCACCAGUGGCGAAGGCGGCUUGCCAGAACGCGCUCGACGGUGAGGGAUGAAAGCUGGGGGAGCAAACCGGAUUAGAUACCCGGGUAGUCCCAGCUGUAAACGAUGCAGACUCGGUGAUGGGCUGGCUUCGUGCCAACCCGGUGCCGCAGGGAAGCCGUUAAGUCUGCCGCCUGGGGAGUACGGUCGCAAGACUGAAACUUAAAGGAAUUGGCGGGGGAGCA
rnacentral:rRNA from 1 species